rnacentral:rRNA from 1 species
UACGUAGGUGGCAAGCGUUGUCCGGAUUUACUGGGCGUAAAGAGCGCGCAGGCGGUCGUUCAAGUCGCGUGUGAAAGCCCCCGGCUCAACUGGGGAGGGUCACGCGAUACUGAUCGACUCGAAGGCAGGAGAGGGUAGUGGAAUUCCCGGUGUAGUGGUGAAAUGCGUAGAUAUCGGGAGGAACACCAGUGGCGAAGGCGACUACCUGGCCUGUUCUUGACGCUGAGGCGCGAAAGCUAGGGGAGCAACAGGG